rnacentral:rRNA from 1 species
AUUGAACGCUGGCGGCAGGCUUAACACAUGCAAGUCGAGCGGAGAGAGGUAGCUUGCUACUGAUCUUAGCGGCGGACGGGUGAGUAAUGCUUAGGAAUCUGCCUAUUAGUGGGGGACAACAUUUCGAAAGGAAUGCUAAUUCCGCAUACGUCCUACGGGAGAGAGCAGGGGAUCUUCGGACCUUGCGCUAAUAGAUGAGCCUAAGUCGGAUUAGCUAGUUGGUGGGGUAAAGGCCUACCAAGGCGACGAUCUGUAGCGGAUCUGAGAGGAUGAUCCGCCACACUGGGACUGAGACACGGCCCAGACUCCUACGGGAGGCAGCAGUGGGGAAUAUUGGACAAUGGGCGCAAGCCUGAUCCAGCCAUGCCGCGUGUGUGAAGAAGGCCUUAUGGUUGUAAAGCACUUUAAGCGAGGAGGAGGCUACUUUAGUUAAUACCUAGAGAUAGUGGACGUUACUCGCAGAAUAAGCACCGGCUAACUCUGUGCCAGCAGCCGCAGUAAUAC